UAGGGAAUCUUCCACAAUGGGCGAAAGCCUGAUGGAGCAACGCCGCGUGUGUGAUGAAGGGUUUCGGCUCGUAAAACACUGUUGUAAGAGAAGAAUGACAUUGAGAGUAACUGUUCAAUGUGUGACGGUAUCUUACCAGAAAGGAACGGCUAAAUACGUGCCAGCAGCCGCGGUAAUACGUAUGUUCCAAGCGUUAUCCGGAUUUAUUGGGCGUAAAGCGAGCGCAGACGGUUAUUUAAGUCUGAAGUGAAAGCCCUCAGCUCAACUGAGGAAUUGCUUUGGAAACUGGAUGACUUGAGUGCAGUAGAGGAAAGUGGAACUCCAUGUGUAGCGGUGAAAUGCGUAGAUAUAUGGAAGAACACCAGUGGCGAAGGCGGCUUUCUGGACUGUAACUGACGUUGAGGCUCGAAAGUGUGGGUAGCAAACAGGAUUAGAUACCCUGAUAGUCCACACCGUAAACGAUGAGUGCUAGGUGUUUGAGGGUUUCCGCCCUUAAGUGCCGCAGCUAACGCAUUAAGCACUCCGCCUGGGGAGUACGACCGCAAGGUU
rnacentral:rRNA from 1 species